UACGUAGGGUGCGAGCGUUGCCCGGAUUUAUUGGGCGUAAAGGGCGCGUAGGCGGCUCGGCACGUCCGUUGUGAAAUCUCCCGGCUCAACUGGGAAACUGCAUCGGAAACUGAUCGGCUUGAAGAUGGGAGAGGGUAGUGGAAUUCCCGGUGUAGUGGUGAAAUGCGUAGAUAUCGGGAGGAACACCAGUGGCGAAGGCGACUACCUGGCCCAUUCUUGACGCUGAGGCGCGAAAGCUAGGGGAGCGAACGGG
rnacentral:rRNA from 1 species